UACAGAGGGUGCGAGCGUUGUCCGGAUUUAUUGGGCGUAAAGAGCUCGUAGGCGGUUUGUCGCGUCGGCCGUGAAAUCUCCACGCUUAACGUGGAGCGUGCGGUCGAUACGGGCAGACUUGAGUUCGGUAGGGGAGACUGGAAUUCCGGGUGUAGUGGUGAAAUGCGUAGAGAUCCGGAGGAACCCCAGAGGCGAAGGCGGCGCCUCGG
rnacentral:rRNA from 1 species